UGUGUGUGUGUGUGUGUGUGUGUGUGUGUGUGUGUGUGUGUGUGUGUGUGUGUGUGUGUGUGUGUGUGUGUGUGUGUAGCCAGCCAGGUAGAAAAAUGGCAGAAAAAAGACGGACAUCAGAGUAUUUUUCAGUAUACCAAAACGCAAAGCAGAGCAGGCAACAGAUGGCACACAGACAGCAGAGUUGGGGACAGAUAUGCAGGGACAGACUGGCAGAGACAGGGAGUCUCAGGACCUGAGCCCUAGGACCAUGCCUCAGGACUACCUGGCUUGAUGACUCCUUGCUGUCCCCAGUUCACCUGGCCGUGCUGCUGCUCCAGUUCCAACUGUUCUGCCUGCAGCUAUGGAACCCUGACCUGUUCACCGGAUGUGCUACCUGUCCCAGACCUGCUGUCCCAGACCUGCUGGAACCCUGACCUAUUCACCGGAUGUGCUACCUGUCCCAGACCUGCUGUUUUCAACUCUCUAGAGACAGCAGUAGCGGUAGAGAUACUCUCAAAGAUUGGCUAUGAAAAAGCCAACUGACACCUACUCUUGUGUUACUGACUUGUUGCACCCUCGACAACUACUAUGAUUAUUAUUAUUUGACCAUGCUGGUCAUUUAUGAACAUUUGAACAUCUAGGCCAUGUGCUGUUAUAAUCUCCACCCGGCACAGCCAGAAGAGGACUGGCCACCCCUCAUAGCCUGGUUCCUCUCUAGGUUUCUUCCUAGGUUUUGGCCUUUCUAGGGAGUUUUUCCUAGCCACCGUGCUUCUACACCUGCAUUGCUUGCUGUUUGGGGUUUUAGGCUGGGUUUCUAUACAGCACUUUGAGAUAUCAGCUGAUGUUGUGGGAAGUUGACCUUGUUUAUGGCACAUAGCCUUUAGCUUCACGGUUUGUUGGGUAGUGUUUAUUGUUUUGUUCGCCGUCUUUUCUAAUAAAAAUAAUAUGUACGCUCA
rnacentral:lncRNA from 1 species